GAGAAGAAGGUAGUAGUAGCGGUGGUAGCGGUGGCGGUAGUGGUGGUAAUGGUAGUAGUAUAGUGAUUGAAUGUGUGCGUGAUGCCUGCUCGGUUAUAUGGCUCGACAAGUCGCAGGCAGUUCAGUUGAGCAACUGAGUCUGAGUUCAUACGUGUGCAUGUGACGCGAAAGAACGAGGCGGAAAGAAAGAGAGAGGGAUCGCGUGUGUAAUUCGAGUGAAAAAGAAAGAAAAAAAUGUAUAUUCGAAGAAGGAAAGAUGUCAAUAAUUUGGUGGUAUAGUGGUUCACGUUUUUUCAACUAUGAUAAAUAAGAAUAUCAUGGAACAUGCACCGAUGACGACGUCAUGACCGUGUCGUGGUAUUGUAGUCGCCAUCUCUCCCGGUUGGUCGGUUGGUCUACUGUGACGGAUUUUCGUGAUGUGAGUGCACGCGCAUUUGGUCGAAAGAGCCGACGAAAAUUACAGCAGUGGCAAGGGCAAUAGAAGCCCGGAUUGUUGUGGCGCGAUGUCGAUGGUUCCCGGGAAUUCGUGUCGACUCUUACGUUCAUCGUCAAUACUCACGGCAUAGGUGACACGGUGGAGUGGCGGUCUACGAGACCACGACGACAACACACCACAGCAACGAUGGCAUUCACAGCUCUAGUGUACAUAUGUGUGUUGCUACGCGUGCGCGUGUGAAGUCGCUCCGCGAGAAUGUUCUUUUGUGUGCGUACUAUUCGUUUGCUCGCUCGCUCGCGCUCGUUCGUGAGCUUUCUUGUGGGAACAUAGUUGCGUAUGGAACAUGUGUGCGUGCCAGUAUAUGUGUAUGCACGUGCGCGAACUUCUUGUAUUAUGUGUCAGUGACUCUCCAUGUCACGGUGGAAGAUUUUCUCUGUUAUUUUCAUGUCUUUAGUUAACACGACAUUUAUACUUACAUAUAUAAUAACAAAUUUUCGUGUCGUUUAUUUUUGCCGAAUCUUGAUUCGUAUUCUAAACUUUGCUCUUCCUAACCUUUUGUGGUCCGUUACGCGUACAUGGUUCUUGAUGAAUUUCAGUCGAUUUGUAUAUAUACGUGCAUAUUAACGUUUUUUCAUUUUACCAUGUUCAUUGGGAUUUUUCUCAAAGUGUUUGUGUUAUUGUUGAAUGCGUUUCCAGAAUUUAGACGCUAAUACUCGUAUGUAAUAUAUCGGCUUUGCGCGGUACGAUUGAUCAUGUUGCGGCGGAACUGAAUGGAAAGUAACUCUUUGGGUGACUUAGGAUAAUAAUUGAGCAAGAUGGUUCUGUGCGCACAAAAGUGCUAUAAACGCAACCAACGAUCAAGGAUUAUCAAUUCUGUAAUUCUUAAUGGUGCUAAGUCCUAGACAUUGACUAGAGGUACGAGACAAUUAAGAAAGAAGAGAAAAGUGUUCGCCUAAGAAGAGAAUUUUCGGAGGAGGAUGCUCGGCAGUUGGGGCUGGGAAGAAGAAUUGGAGUUGGGAGAGGGAACAGCAACCCUGUCACAAGAUAGACAAA